rnacentral:rRNA from 1 species
UACGUAGGGGGCCAGCGUUGUCCGGAAUCAUUGGGCGCAAAGAGCGUGUAGGCGGUCCGGUAAGUCCGUUGUGAAAGUCAAGGGCUCAACCCUUGAAUGCCGGCGGAUACUGUCGGGCUAGAGUCCGGAAGAGGCGAGUGGAAUUCCCGGUGUAGCGGUGAAAUGCGCAGAUAUCGGGAGGAACACCUAUGGCGAAGGCAGCUCGCUGGGACGGCACUGACACUGAGACGCGAAAGCGUGGGGAGCAAACAGG